rnacentral:misc_RNA from 1 species
CCCAACUAUCCCUAUUAAUCAUUACAGUGAUCCUAGAAACCAACAAAAUAGAAUCAUCGUUCUAUUUUAUUAUUCCAUGCUAAUGUAUUCAAGCAAAUAAUGCCUGCUUUAAACACUCUAAUUUUUUCAAAGUAAAAGUCCUAGUUCAUUGAAACACCCAGUUAAAGAGGCAUCACAAUUCACCAGAAGGUGAGGAAUUGGCUACGCCAGUUCAUACCCCUUAAGGCACGACCGAUGUGUCAAUCCCGAAAUUCAACUACGAGCUUUUUAACCGCAGCAACCUUAAUAUACGCUAUUGGAGCUGGAAUUACCGCGGCUGCUAGCACCAGACUUGCCCUCCAA